CUGGUUGAUCCUGCCGGAGGCCACUGCUAUUGGAAUCCGACUAAGCCAUGCGAGUCGAUCGGGUUAGACCCGAGGCGGACGGCUCAGUAACACGUGGAUAACCUACCCUUAGGUGGGGGAUAACCUCGGGAAACUGAGGAUAAUACCCCAUAGAUCCAGGAGGCUGGAAUGCACCUGGAUCGAAAGCUCCGGCGCCUAAGGAUGGGUCUGCGGCCUAUCAGGUUGUAGUGGGGGUAACGGCCCCACUAGCCUACGACGGGUACGGGUUGUGAGAGCAAGAGCCCGGAGAUGGACUCUGAGACACGAGUCCAGGCCCUACGGGGCGCAGCAGGCGCGAAACCUCCGCAAUGCGCGAAAGCGCGACGGGGGGAUUCCAAGUGCUGGCUCGUAAGAGUCAGCUGUCCUCGAGCCUAAAAAGCUCGAGAAGAAAGGGCUGGGUAAGACGGGUGCCAGCCGCCGCGGUAAUACCCGCAGCUCAAGUGGUGGCCACUAUUAUUGGGCCUAAAACGUCCGUAGCCGGUCUGGUAAAUGCCUGGGUAAAUCGCAAGGCUUAACCUUGCGAAUUCUAGGUAGACUGCCAGACUUGGGACCGGGAGAGGCUGGAGGUACUCCCAGGGUAGGGGUGAAAUCCUGUAAUCCUGGGGGGACCACCUGUGGCGAAGGCGUCCAGCCAGAACGGGUCCGACGGUGAGGGACGAAGCCCAGGGGCGCAAACCGGAUUAGAUACCCGGGUAGUCCUGGGUGUAAACGCUGCUCGCUUGAUGUUAGGUAGGCUCCGGGCCUACCUAGUGUCGGAGAGAAGUUGUUAAGCGAGCUGCCUGGGGAGUACGGCCGCAAGGCUGAAACUUAAAGGAAUUGGCGGGGGAGCACUGCAACGGGUGGAGCGUGCGGUUUAAUUGGAUUCAACGCCGG
rnacentral:rRNA from 1 species